UUAAGCGACUAAGCGUACACGGUGGAUGCCCUGGCAGUCAGAGGCGAUGAAGGACGUGCUAAUCUGCGAAAAGCGUCGGUAAGGUGAUAUGAACCGUUAUAACCGGCGAUGUCCGAAUGGGGAAACCCAGUGCAAUUCGUUGCACUAUCGUUAACUGAAUACAUAGGUUAACGAGGCGAACCGGGGGAACUGAAACAUCUAAGUACCCCGAGGAAAAGAAAUCAACCGAGAUUCCCCCAGUAGCGGCGAGCGAACGGGGAGCAGCCCAGAGUCUGAAUCAGCUUGUGUGUUAGUGGAACGGUCUGGAAAGUCCGACGGUACAGGGUGAUAGUCCCGUACACCAAAAUGCACAGGCUGUGAACUCGAAGAGUAGGGCGGGACACGUGGUAUCCUGUCUGAAUAUGGGGGGACCAUCCUCCAAGGCUAAAUACUCCUGACUGACCGAUAGUGAACCAGUACCGUGAGGGAAAGGCGAAAAGAACCCCGGCGAGGGGAGUGAAAAAGAACCUGAAACCGUGUACGUACAAGCAGUGGGAGCACCUUCGGGUGUGACUGCGUACCUUUUGUAUAAUGGGUCAGCGACUUAUAUUCUGUAGCAAGGUUAACCGUAUAGGGGAGCCGCAGGGAAACCGAGUCUUAACUGGGCGUUAAGUUGCAGGGUAUAGACCCGAAACCCGGUGAUCUAGCCAUGGGCAGGUUGAAGGUUGGGUAACACUAACUGGAGGACCGAACCGACUAAUGUUGAAAAAUUAGCGGAUGACUUGUGGCUGGGGGUGAAAGGCCAAUCAAACCGGGAGAUAGCUGGUUCUCCCCGAAAGCUAUUUAGGUAGCGCCUCGUGAACUCAUCUUCGGGGGUAGAGCACUGUUUCGGCUAGGGGGUCAUCCCGACUUACCAACCCGAUGCAAACUACGAAUACCGAAGAAUGUUAUCACGGGAGACACACGGCGGGUGCUAACGUCCGUCGUGAAGAGGGAAACAACCCAGACCGCCAGCUAAGGUCCCAAAGUCAUGGUUAAGUGGGAAACGAUGUGGGAAGGCACAGACAGCCAGGAUGUUGGCUUAGAAGCAGCCAUCAUUUAAAGAAAGCGUAAUAGCUCACUGGUCGAGUCGGCCUGCGCGGAAGAUGUAACGGGGCUAAACCAUGCACCGAAGCUGCGGCAGCGACACUAUGUGUUGUUGGGUAGGGGAGCGUUCUGUAAGCCUGCGAAGGUGACCUGUGAGGGUUGCUGGAGGUAUCAGAAGUGCGAAUGCUGACAUAAGUAACGAUAAAGCGGGUGAAAAGCCCGCUCGCCGGAAGACCAAGGGUUCCUGUCCAACGUUAAUCGGGGCAGGGUGAGUCGACCCCUAAGGCGAGGCCGAAAGGCGUAGUCGAUGGGAAACAGGUUAAUAUUCCUGUACUUGGUGUUACUGCGAAGGGGGGACGGAGAAGGCUAUGUUAGCCGGGCGACGGUUGUCCCGGUUUAAGCAUGUAGGCUGAUUGUCCAGGCAAAUCCGGAUAAUCAAGGCUGAGGUGUGAUGACGAGGCACUACGGUGCUGAAGUAACAAAUGCCCUGCUUCCAGGAAAAGCCUCUAAGCAUCAGGUAACAUCAAAUCGUACCCCAAACCGACACAGGUGGUCAGGUAGAGAAUACCAAGGCGCUUGAGAGAACUCGGGUGAAGGAACUAGGCAAAAUGGUGCCGUAACUUCGGGAGAAGGCACGCUGGUGUGUAGGUGAAGUCCCUGCGGAUGGAGCUGAGACCAGUCGAAGAUACCAGCUGGCUGCAACUGUUUAUUAAAAACACAGCACUGUGCAAACACGAAAGUGGACGUAUACGGUGUGACGCCUGCCCGGUGCCGGAAGGUUAAUUGAUGGGGUUAUCCGUAAGGAGAAGCUCUUGAUCGAAGCCCCGGUAAACGGCGGCCGUAACUAUAACGGUCCUAAGGUAGCGAAAUUCCUUGUCGGGUAAGUUCCGACCUGCACGAAUGGCGUAAUGAUGGCCAGGCUGUCUCCACCCGAGACUCAGUGAAAUUGAACUCGCUGUGAAGAUGCAGUGUACCCGCGGCAAGACGGAAAGACCCCGUGAACCUUUACUAUAGCUUGACACUGAACAUUGAGCCUUGAUGUGUAGGAUAGGUGGGAGGCUUUGAAGCGUGGACGCCAGUCUGCGUGGAGCCAACCUUGAAAUACCACCCUUUAAUGUUUGAUGUUCUAACGUUGGCCCCUGACCGGGGUUGCGGACAGUGUCUGGUGGGUAGUUUGACUGGGGCGGUCUCCUCCCAAAGCGUAACGGAGGAGCACGAAGGUUAGCUAAUCCUGGUCGGACAUCAGGAGGUUAGUGCAAUGGCAUAAGCUAGCUUGACUGCGAGCGUGACGGCGCGAGCAGGUGCGAAAGCAGGUCAUAGUGAUCCGGUGGUUCUGAAUGGAAGGGCCAUCGCUCAACGGAUAAAAGGUACUCCGGGGAUAACAGGCUGAUACCGCCCAAGAGUUCAUAUCGACGGCGGUGUUUGGCACCUCGAUGUCGGCUCAUCACAUCCUGGGGCUGAAGUAGGUCCCAAGGGUAUGGCUGUUCGCCAUUUAAAGUGGUACGCGAGCUGGGUUUAGAACGUCGUGAGACAGUUCGGUCCCUAUCUGCCGUGGGCGCUGGAGAAUUGAGGGGGGCUGCUCCUAGUACGAGAGGACCGGAGUGGACGCAUCACUGGUGUUCGGGUUGUCAUGCCAAUGGCACUGCCCGGUAGCUAAAUGCGGAAGAGAUAAGUGCUGAAAGCAUCUAAGCACGAAACUUGCCCCGAGAUGAGUUCUCCCUGAGACUUUAAGUCUCCUGAAGGAACGUUAAAGACGAUGACGUUGAUAGGCCGGGUGUGUAAGCGCAGCGAUGCGUUGAGCUAACCGGUACUAAUGAACCGUGAGGCUUAACCUU
rnacentral:rRNA from 2 species